rnacentral:rRNA from 1 species
AGCCUACGGGGCGCAGCAGUCGGGAAUAUUGCGCAAUGGAGGAAACUCUGACGCAGUGACGCCGCGUAUAGGAAGAAGGUUUUCGGAUUGUAAACUAUUGUCAUUAGGGAAGAUAAAAGACUGUACCUAAGGAGGAAGCCCCGGCUAACUAUGUGCCAGCAGCCGCGGUAAUACGUAGGGAGCGAGCGUUGUCCGGAUUUACUGGGUGUAAAGGGUGCGUAGGCGGCUUGGCAAGUCAGUAGUGAAAUCCAUGGGCUUAACCCAUGAACUGCUAUUGAAACUGUCGAGCUUGAGUGAAGUAGAGG